rnacentral:rRNA from 1 species
AUUGAACGCUGGCGGCAAGCCUAACACAUGCAAGUCGAACGAGUGGCGGACGGGUGAGUAAUGUCUGGGAAACUGCCCGAUGGAGGGGGAUAACUACUGGAAACGGUAGCUAAUACCGCAUACCAUCGGAUGUGCCCAGAUGGGAUUAGCUAGUAGGUGGGGUAAUGGCUCACCUAGGCGACGAUCCCUAGCUGGUCUGAGAGGAUGACCAUCCACACUGGAAUUGAGACACGGUCCAGACUCCUACGGUAGGCAGCAGGGGGGAAUAUUGCACAAUGGGCGCAAGCCGGAUGCAGCCAGGCCGCGUGUAUGAAGAAGGCCUUCGGGUUGUAAAGUACUUUCAGCGGGGAGGCGUUACCCGCAGAAGAAGCACCGGCUAACUCCGUGCCAGCAGCCGCGGUAAUUC